rnacentral:rRNA from 1 species
AUACGUAGGGGGCGAGCGUUGUCCGGAAUGAUCGGGCGUAAAGGGCGCGUAGGCGGCCCGGUAAGUCUGGAGUGAAAGUCCUGUUUUUAAGAUGGGAAUUGCUUUGGAUACUGUCGGGCUUGAGUGCAGGAGAGGUAAGUGGAAUUCCCAGUGUAGCGGUGAAAUGCGUAGAGAUUGGGAGGAACACCAGUGGCGAAGGCGACUUACUGGACUGUAACUGACGCUGAGGCGCGAAAGUGUGGGGAGCAAACAGGAUUAGAUACCCUGGUAGUCCACACUGUAAACGAUGAAUGCUAGGUGUAGGGGGUAUCGACCCCUUCUGUGCCGCAGUCAACACAAUAAGCAUUCCGCCUGGGGAGUACGGCCGCAAGGUUGAAACUUAAAGGAAUUGACGGGG